CAGUAGCCGCGGUAAUACGUAGGGGGCUAGCGUUGUCCGGAAUCAUUGGGCGUAAAGCGCGUGUAGGCGGCUUGACAAGUCUGCUGUGAAAGUCCAGGGCUCAACCCUGGAAUGCCGGUGGAAACUGUCAAGCUAGAGUCCGGAAGGGGAGUGUGGAAUUCCUGGUGUAGCGGUGAAAUGCGCAGAUAUCAGGAGGAACACCAAUGGCGAAGGCAGCACUCUGGGACGUGACUGACGCUGAGACGCGAAAGCGUGGGGAGCAAACAGGAUUAGAUACCCCCGUAGUCCCUGUCUCUUAUAC
rnacentral:rRNA from 1 species